rnacentral:rRNA from 1 species
GGGGGAUAUUGCACAAUGGAGGAAACUCUGAUGCAGCAACGCCGCGUGAGGGAAGACGGUUUUCGGAUUGUAAACCUCUGUCCUCGGUGACGAUAAUGACGGUAGCCGAGGAGGAAGCUCCGGCUAACUACGUGCCAGCAGCCGCGGUAAUACGUAGGGAGCAAGCGUUGUCCGGAUUUACUGGGUGUAAAGGGUGCGUAGGCGGCUCUGCAAGUCAGGUGUGAAAACUAUGGGCUUAACGCAUAGAUUGCACUUGAAACUGUGGAGCUUGAGUGAAGUAGAGGCAGGCGGAAUUCCCGGUGUAGCGGUGAAAUGCGUAGAGAUCGGGAGGAACACCAGUGGCGAAGGCGGCCUGCUGGGCUUUAACUGACGCUGAGGCACGAAAGCAUGGGUAGCAAAC